rnacentral:rRNA from 1 species
AGGGGAUAACUACUGGAAACGGUAGCUAAUACCGCAUAACGUCGCAAGACCAAAGAGGGGGACCUUAGGGCCUCUUGCCAUCGGAUGUGCCCAGAUGGGAUUAGCUAGUAGGUGGGGUAACGGCCUACCAAGGCGACGAUCAGUAGCGGGUCUGAGAGGAUGAUCCGCCACACUGGGACUGAGACACGGCCCAG